CAUCUUGUGCGAAGCAAGGUGGCCUCCACGUUCCCCGAGCGUCUUCUCCGCUUCUGCCUCGACCGCCCCUUGAUCACAGAUAUGUCUCGGGACCGGUUCCGGAGCCGCGGCGGCGGCGGCGGCGGCUUCCACCGGCGCGGAGGCGGCGGCGGCCGCGGUGGCCUCCACGACUUCCGCUCCCCGCCGCCCGGCAUGGGCCUCAAUCAGACCCGGGGACCCAUGGGGCCCGGCCCGGGCCAGGGCGGCCCCAAGCCCCCGAUCCCGCCACCACCUCCGCACCAGCAACAGCAGCAGCCGCCGCCGCAGCAGCCGCCGCCGCAGCAGCCCCCGCCGCUUCAGCCGCCGCCGCAUCAGCCGCCGCAUCAGCAGCCGCCGCCGCCGCAGGACUCGUCCAAGCCUGUGGGUCCUCAGGGGCCCGGGCCGGCGCCGGGAGUGGGCAGCGCGCCGCCGGCCUCCGGCUCGGCACCGCCCGCGACUCCUCCGACUUCGGGGGCCCCAGCGGGCCCGGGCCCCACCCCGACCCCGCCGCCCGCCGUCACCUCGGCGCCGCCUGGGGCGCCCCCGCCCGCGCCGCCGAGCAGCGGGGUCCCCACCACCCCGCCCCAGGCCGGGGGCCCGCCGCCUCCGUCCGCAGGGGGCCCGGGCCCGGGGCCUAAACAGGGCCCAGGCCCCGGAGGCCCGAAAGGCGGCAAAAUGCCGGGCGGGCCGAAGCCCGGCGGCGGCCCGGGCCUGAGUACCCCCGGCGGCCACCCCAAGCCGCCGCACCGGGGCGGGGGGGAGCCGCGUGGAGGGCGGCAGCACCACCCGCCCUACCACCAGCAGCACCACCAGGGGCCCCCGCCCGGCGGGCCCGGCGGCCGCAGCGAGGAGAAGAUCUCCGACUCGGAGGGGUUCAAAGCCAACUUGUCGCUCCUGAGGAGGCCCGGAGAGAAAACCUACACGCAGCGCUGCCGGUUGUUUGUAGGGAAUCUACCUGCUGACAUCACGGAGGAUGAAUUCAAAAGACUCUUUGCUAAAUACGGAGAACCAGGAGAAGUUUUUAUCAACAAAGGCAAAGGAUUUGGAUUUAUUAAACUUGAAUCUAGGGCAUUGGCUGAAAUUGCCAAAGCUGAACUGGAUGAUACACCCAUGAGGGGUAGGCAGCUUCGGGUUCGCUUUGCCACACAUGCUGCUGCCCUGUCUGUGCGAAAUCUUUCACCUUAUGUUUCCAAUGAACUGUUGGAAGAAGCCUUUAGCCAAUUUGGUCCUAUUGAGAGGGCUGUUGUAAUCGUGGAUGAUCGUGGGAGAUCUACAGGGAAAGGCAUUGUUGAAUUUGCUUCUAAACCAGCGGCAAGAAAAGCAUUUGAAAGAUGCAGCGAAGGUGUUUUCUUACUGACAACAACACCUCGUCCAGUCAUUGUGGAACCACUUGAACAAUUAGAUGAUGAAGAUGGCCUUCCUGAAAAACUUGCACAGAAGAAUCCAAUGUAUCAAAAGGAGAGAGAAACACCUCCUCGUUUUGCCCAGCAUGGCACAUUUGAGUAUGAAUAUUCUCAGCGAUGGAAGUCCCUGGAUGAAAUGGAAAAACAGCAAAGGGAACAAGUUGAAAAAAACAUGAAAGAUGCGAAAGACAAAUUGGAAAGUGAAAUGGAAGAUGCCUAUCAUGAGCAUCAGGCAAAUCUUUUGCGUCAAGAUCUGAUGAGACGCCAGGAAGAAUUAAGACGCAUGGAAGAACUUCACAAUCAAGAAAUGCAGAAACGUAAAGAAAUGCAACUAAGGCAAGAAGAAGAACGGCGUAGAAGGGAAGAAGAGAUGAUGAUUCGGCAGCGUGAGAUGGAAGAACAAAUGAGACGCCAAAGAGAGGAAAGUUAUAGCCGGAUGGGCUACAUGGAUCCAAGAGAAAGAGACAUGAGAAUGGGUGGUGGAGGAGCAAUGAACAUGGGAGAUCCCUAUGGUUCAGGAGGCCAGAAAUUUCCACCUCUAGGUGGUGGUGGUGGCAUAGGUUAUGAAGCUAAUCCUGGAGUCCCACCAGCAACCAUGAGUGGUUCCAUGAUGGGAAGCGACAUGCGUACUGAGCGCUUUGGGCAGGGAGGUGCGGGACCCGUGGGUGGACAGGGUCCUAGAGGAAUGGGGCCUGGAACUCCAGCAGGAUAUGGUAGAGGGAGAGAAGAGUAUGAAGGCCCAAACAAAAAGCCCCGAUUUUAGAUGUGAUAUCUAGGUUUUCAUUCCAGUUUGUUUUUGUCUUUUCUUGUUUAGAUACCAAUCUUUUAAAUUCUUGCAUUUUAGUAAGAAAGCUACCUUUUUAUGGAUGUUAGCAGUUUAUUGACCUAAUAUUUGUAAAUGGUCUGUUUGGGCAGGUAAAAUUAUGUAAUGCAGUGUUUCAAACAGGGGAAUUUUUUUCCUUUUUAUUUCCUUUUUUUUUUUUAAACUGUAUAAUGUCCCUCAAGUUAUGGCAGUGUACCUUGUGCCACUGAAUUUCCAAAGUGUACCAAUUUUUUUUUUACUGUGCUUCAAAUAAAUAGAAAAAAUAGUUAUAAUAUGGAUCUUCAACUUUGCCAUUCAUGCUUCUAUGCACAUUAGGCUAGGUAUUCCACUUUGAAAGCAUGAGCGUGUCUAGGCCUUUGAAUGGCACAUGCCAUUUCUGGGAAAUGUAUCUGUAGGCUAAGUAUUGCUUUCUAAAAAUAAGUAACCCCUUGUUUUAAAAAGAAGAAAUGCAUAUUGAAGUAGUUUCAUGAUUUGAUUUGUUUGGCAUUAUAGGAAGCAAGCUGGUGCUAAGUAUUUUUAAAUGGUUAUAUAAGCAAGCUGAACUGUAAAUCUUCAGGAAUGUGUAUUAAGAUUAUGGAAUGGGUGAAAGACUUGAUAGGGGAGAAAGUGGGUAUGACUAAAUGGAUCUUUAUGGCCCUAUGAUCUAUCCUUUCCUUGAAAGUUUCUGAAGAAAAGUGGAAAGAUCAUUCUGUUGCAUUCCUCCAUUCUUGUUUUUAAAAGAACAAGUCCCAAGCCCUACAAAUGGCUUGUACUGAACUUUCACAUUUGAAUUAAAGAUUGUUAAACAUGAAGCCUUUUCAUGUAUUACUUCAAGCGAUUUAUGAAGAUGGGGAUUUAGUCUGAAAAAAGCAACUUGAAAGUAAGCGUAGUAACCAUAAAGUAGGUGUAGCUAUGUAUACAUUUGUACUCUGUAACUUUUACAUCUCCUUGUGCUACUGCUGGUGGGCAAAAUCUGUAGGACUAUAAAAAUCUUGUUCUCUUGUCUAAGAACUAGUGGUGACUGUAAAUGACAAAUAGGGUUGCAGAUAACGAUUCUUACUGUAAAAUAUUUGUUAACCUGUUUUUCCAUAGUUUACUUUCGAUGUAGCACUAAAUCUGGAGAGAGUUGCUCAUGCUACACAGUACAAGUAGCCCUUUCUCCCACCAUAAAGUUUUGGAGUGUUUCGAUGGUGUUGUCAGUUGUCAACUUCAUUGAAUCUCCUUCCAUUAGGAUAAGACAGUCUGACUUACUACUACAGUAGAUUGUUACUGUUGACUGUUAGUACGACGGGAACCUGUUGUCCCAGUGUUAUAUAUGUUAGCAGAGGAACGACUUCCUAAAAGUAGGUAAAGUAACUGAACGGUUUGGCUUUGUUUUUAGAUGUGUCCAUUCAAAUUUGUACAUUACAGAUCUCUUCCUACGGAAUGUGUCUUCCUCCUUUUCACCUCUGUUGUUGGUGCUAAUUGGCAAAAGUAAAAUUCUAAAUCAAAUCUUGGUUAAAAUGCUGAAGGUCAGUAUUGUGCCUGAGUACAAAGGGAGACCUAUCGUUGAAACAAUUGAACACUUUGUGCAUAGGAAACUGGGUAAUACUCAAAGUAACACUAGUGGAGUAUAAAGGCAUGUCACUCAAUUCUGGUUGUGUGACUGACAGGUACAUUGUGUGCUAAUUAAGGAAGAGAAUCUCCUUAGAAAAUGCUCAUUAUUUCUUCACCAAGAAAGACACUUGGAAAUGGGUAGUAGUUCUACCAUAAUUCUAUCAAUGAGGAAGUUUUGUCCUAAGUCAUUAAUUGGUGAUAUGCAUGAGGUUUUCUGUAUGGAAACAAGGGUCUGGAUUGGAAAGGAAUCCAUUACAAUUUGAUUGAAUUGUAUGGUAGGGACUCCACUAAUGAUAAAAUAAGGGGUGUUCAUGGGACACCCAUAGAGGGUGAACUUGAAUGUGUGUGGGCGGGGGCUGGUGGGGAAGUGGGAAAAUCUGCCUAUAAAAUUAAUGUUUCAGUUUAUUUUUCAGAUUACAUGCCUUUCUUUAUAAGGGAUGCUGGCACAGACCCCUAAAAUAAGAUUUUGUUAGUACUAUACCUUUGAAGAGUGGUGAAGGAUGCUAAUGGAUAAUCUCCUGAAAGUUGUGGUUUUGAUAGCCUUACCGUGGGCUGUAGAAUUGCUAAACCUUGUUUAGCAAAUAAUGUUGCUUAGUUUCCACUAAGUUUUGCCUUUCAUCCUUGAAGCAGCAGUGUACCAAGGGUUGUAAGCUAUUCAAAUAGACUUUUCAAUAAGUCUUGCAAUGCAUAUGAUAGUUUUUAGACUAAUGUGAAUUUAAAUCAUCUUAAAAAGGAAUUGCCUAAAAACUGAUAUGAACAUGGGGUGGGAGAGGGAAUGUAGUACUUUUGGAGUAUUUUUAGCCAUUUUUCUCAUUUAAAGAAACCACCUGCCCCCAUUUCCUCUUCUCCACUUUCUCUCAUAAUUUUGUUUUAAGAGGAACACUGAUCUGUUUUAAGGUUAUUACUCCUAAUCUUUAAAAAUUGCAUUCUCUAAGAGACCCCAGUGUAUUUAAUAGGUACCUUAUAAGAUGAACCCAGUGGCUCACAUUCAGUGAAACCAUAAUCCUCUUGGCUUAGAACACUAAUUAAACUCCUAAGAAGUACUGUAAACCCCACCACUCUAUAUAUAGAUGUAUUAUAACACUAAUACAAACAGAUAAUCUGGGAAAUUGUAAUGUUACGCCUGUGCAAUUUUUUUAUAAGUGGCAUAUCCUGGCAGACAAAAAUUUAGAUACUUGGCUUUUCUUGGGCAAGCCACUAUGUUGUGGCGGAAUGUUUUCUGGUGUUCUUGGACUGCAAUUAUGCACUAUUAAAGUAGUGGCCUGCUACAUAACUGCAUUUAGCCAGCAUUUCUGCAGUGCGUAACUGUGAGGAACGUAGUACCGCAAAUGGCAAUGGACAUUAGGACCCGGAUGUAGUAUUCCUGCUUGCUCCAAGAUUCUCAUUGCCGACUGCAUACAGGUAGGUAACAAGCAAUAUAAUCUAACUUGGUGACUUGCUAUGUACUUUUAUUCCGUGGGCAUUCUGACAUCACACUUCUGACGAUGAAAUUACAGUGCAGCACCUAACACUUGUAUGGUAAAGCUAGUUUCUAUCCAAACUGCGUGGGUUUGGGUUUAGAGCUGUAAUUUGUCAGGCAGACUUCAGUGCUGUUGCAGUUCUCAGAUAAAAAGUGCAAACUUGAUUCUUUGGUAUGUCUGAGUUGCGUGGUUUCCUUUAGUUGCAUUGUAACUGAAGAGAACCUGGAGCACAUCAGUGGUGUGGGGGAGAGGGAAGCAAACCAUACUGGGGAAGUAGAGCGCUGUUAGCACCUUGACAUGGACUGUAUAUAGCCUGUGAUACUGAGUCUCUGUUGUAGCAAACUGACCUCCUGCCCACAGGUCAGCACUAUUGAUUUCAGAAUGCAAUCUUGGUAAUUAUUCUGCAGGUUGAGUGAAUUAAGAGUAACAGUACAGUUUUUUUUUGUAAUGUGAACUAAAUUUUUUUUUUUUAAUGGGCUUCACGGGAAUACCUUUGUUACUAACGUGGGCUUAGGCGGGAAUCUAAUGUGAAUAGUUCAAGUUAUGUGCCUUGUCUAAAUAUGUAUGCUCUAAACCUGGGGAAAGUGGUGUGGCAUGUUGACUUGCCUGCAGUUGAAGACGUUGGGAAUCAUUUCCCAAUCCUAAGACUUUUCGUCGUAUUCUGUAGGAUAACUGCAAAUGUUCAGAGUAGCUUUUCGAAUUUGGUUCCCUUAGCUUUAGGGAUGUGAUGUUAUAAUCCAAAGUGUUCAACAAAAGAAACAAAAAAGAGUCUUCAAAAGCACCUUCUUUUGUUGCUUAGGGCUUAAUAAGCUUUUUGUAAGCUUUGCAUCGACUGUUGUUCCAGACCUCAAUUCCACUUAACUUUGGUCUCCGAGCUGGUUUUUAGCUAGCAUGCAUGAGAAGAAACAGCUUUCACGUAUAAUGCUUUCUGCUCUGUAACUGGAAAGUUUGGUUUACUUUGCAUAAAUGCCGGUGAAAACUCUUCCUGACUAUGAGAAUUUUCUUUCAUUGUAUCAAGAAAAAUGGCUUGCUCCUUGGCAAGCAAUUCACAAGGUGGGGACAAAUUGGUACUUUAAUAUGUAGUCUAUUUAAGCAAAUACCUUGACUCUCCUGUUAGGUGAAAAAGCAAAUGGUGACUAGUUUAGCUGUAUAUUAAUAAUACAAUGCAGUGCAAACAUAAUGCUCAGUAUUAGUGACAAGAGUGUCACUAAAUUGACAUACAACCCUGAUCGGGUUUUCCUGUGGCAUAAUCAUUAAAUCGGUGGCCAACACUUGCUACCGUGAUUAGUGAUUCAAGUGCUUAGAAAUAAAAGCUCAGGUUUAUUUCUUAAGAGUCAAUAACAAUUUUGCAGAGAAUGUACUCCUUAUAUAAUCUGUGGACUUGAGGAAAAUCAUUGGGGAGGGGGGUUAAUUUUGCUUCAUUUCUGCUUCAAGGUGACUAGGUUUUUGCACUUUCAAAUGAGAAACUUGUGACUUAAGUCAUUCUUACUAGUUUCGAUUUGUAUGUAGCUAUAAUUUGUGAAUUUUAGUGUAGAGGGUCUUAAAAACACUCACUCAAAAAGCUGGGAAUAAAUGGGUUUCAGUAACACUAUACCGAGGUGCUUGCAUUGUAUUUCAUAGUCUUUUCUUGUUACAAACCAAAAUUAUUUUUAAUGAGAAUGAUCCGAGGUUCAGAAGUGUGAUGCCAGAAUGCGUUUUCGUACUGUUAGGCCCUUGGAACAGAUACCGGUGCUUUCUGAAGGAUGAAAGAAAUGGAAUGGGUACUCCUCACACAAGGUUGCAAAACCUACAAAGAAUGCCUAAGAGUCUCAUUUUUCCCCAAGAAAAGAGAUGCGUGUGACUAGUUUUGGACUUUUAACCUUAAUGGGGGUGCAUGUCUCCUAUUGUUAAUCAUUGUCAGCUGCAGUGACAUGAUCCACAGUCCUGCAUUUACUGCCUUUCCCUUAAUGAUUUUGGACAGGUUUGAGAGAGCCAGGAUGUUUGUUCUGGGCCUUUAUUUGGUUUUGGCUUUAGCUGAUAAUGCUUCAGUGUUCUGUCAGCUAGUGCAGUUCUCAAAUGGCUGCCUAUUAGGGAAAGAAUUCUGAGGAUUUGACUGCUCCUAAUCAUCUGUCAUUGCUGCUAGAUAAUGAUUGGCAAUUUUUAAGACUCAACUGUGGAAGUCUCACAGUUGGUAAACCAUCAACCAUAAAAAUGUUGCUUUUGAACACCAGUGCUGAAAAGAUUUUAUUUGGAGGGUGAGAAGGGGGCCGGAUGCAGAAUAGGACAAUCUGGAGAAUGGGGGAGAAUGCAAAACGAUAUAGUAUCCCUUAUGGAUGGUACAUGUGCAACAGGGAACUUUUUUUUUUUUUUAAAUCCCUUGGCAGUUACGGAUAAUCAGGGAGGAAGAAAAACCUGGAACUUGAAUCAAGGCUGAUCUUUCUGGUUUUUGUGCACCGUGGCCCUGCCAGGCAUAUAUAGUGAAGGUGAAUGUCUUCUCCCUCAGAAAAACUCAGGUUCCUUGCUGUCCCGAAGAAGGCAUAGCUUCCCUGCCCUAACUUAAAACUCAGUGAGGACUUGGAGGGAAAGAACGAGGCAAAUACCUAGGACUGCAGGGUAACAACUGCAUUGUUGUGUACUGUGGAAUGGGGAGGGCACUCUUGGAGGACUCCUACUGAGGGUGGUCAGUCCACCUGACAACGGAAGACCUACUUGAAUGGGGGCAGGGUAUGUGCUUUUAUAUGAAAAGAGAGCUGAUGUUAAAACUCCUUUGGUAAGGUGAACGUUGUCACAUACCUUCUCAUAAGGGAUAGUAUAUUUUGGGUUGCAGUCAAACUUGAUUGUGCUCAGACUGGUGAAAAUAGCAGAUACAGGCAUUUGUAUUUUAAAUAAGAUAUAGUUUUUAUUUGAAUUCAGCUGUCUACUUUAUUAGUUUACAUAAGAGUAAUUUUAGAUUUUUCCCCCCCAUCAAGUUUCUUCCUGUUUUUUUUUUUAAAUGCUGUAACUUGCCCCCCCCAAUCUUUGUCUCUGGAAUUUUACUCUUUGAAUUUUGAAGUUAACUAGCAUUUUCAAGCCUUUAUACCCUUGUCUUUUAUAUUAACUUUCUCUUAUUAUUCUUUAGGUAAGAAUGAUUGAUGUUGGCUGAUACUGGAGUACUCACUCCAAGUGGAUAAGCUAUUAGUCUCAAGAUGACAUCACACAUCGUGAGCCAAGAAGGAAAGCCACGACUUGUUAGGCUGAGGAAGUGUCUAGGUAAGCUGGGUGGUUGUUCUGCUGUAAGCUGCCUUCAUUUCAGAAGAACUCUUGGGUGCUACCACCAUGACUACUCGCAUGUGAAUAUUUCGUUUUAACUUACUCUACCUUAAAAUUUCCUAUGUAGAAAAUAAGUUGUUUAUAUAGUAUUUGAGUACUUAGAGUCAUUUUAACAGCCUUGAGGUUUGUAGGCCUUGUGUUUUGGUUUGGCUCAAGCCCAGGAAUGACCAGGAGUUUAGUUUUAGUUUUCAGUAAGAGUAUGUACAUCCAUUUACCUCCCCUUCGUCCUUAGAACUGUGCAGAAGAGGGUUUGGAAAAUUAAACGUUGCCUGUUUUUAACCAACUUGCUUUGUGAUGAGGUCACCUAGAGUUGGUGAUGUGUACUAGAGAAGGGUUGGCAGUUUUAAAGGGCAAAUCAGCUCUGCUGUCGGAGCUGGGAAAGCAGUCCUAGACCGUAUGUAAACAAGAGCGAGGCUGCGGCUGUGCCAAUAGUUCAGACAGGUUGUAGGUGGACGGUGGCUUACUGUCUCUCAUCUGAUAAAAGUGACAUAUAAAUAGAUUAUCACUCAGGUUUAAAGGGCUAUUACAGUCAUUAAAGAGUAAGGUAGAAAUAGUGAUAAGAACUAAUGACUAGAUCUUAAACCUAGGGAAGGCGACGAUUGAAUCUCUAAGUGGUUGCUGCUAAAGUUCUGGUGAAUGGAAGUAAACUUGAAUCAAGUAGCUGGUGGUAAACUAAUCACCUUAGUCCAUUAAAUACUGCUAUUACCACAUUCCUUGAUUAGUAUUACUUUGGUGUUAGGAAGCUUACUUGAUGCUAAAUGGUAAAUUGACAAUUCUGAUUCUUAACAUCUUUUGGAGUAAUUGUUUCUUUUGAUUGGCAGGAUCAGGUGAACUGUGUCGAGAAAACCAGUGAGGAAGAGGGCAAAGAGGAAUGAGCAACUCAAUUGUUAAUAAAGACAGUUUUAAAUCA